AGUUUCUGGCUGAAGGAGCUCC
rnacentral:miRNA from 1 species